rnacentral:rRNA from 1 species
AGUGAACGCUGGCGGUAGGCCUAACACAUGCAAGUCGAACGGCAGCACAGUAAGAGCUUGCUCUUACGGGUGGCGAGUGGCGGACGGGUGAGGAAUACAUCGGAAUCUACUUUUUCGUGGGGGAUAACGUAGGGAAACUUACGCUAAUACCGCAUACGACCUACGGGUGAAAGCAGGGGAUCUUCGGACCUUGCGCGAUUGAAUGAGCCGAUGUCGGAUUAGCUAGUUGGCGGGGUAAAGGCCCACCAAGGCGACGAUCCGUAGCUGGUCUGAGAGGAUGAGCAGCCACACUGGAACUGAGACACGGUCAAGACUCCUACGGGAGGCAGCAGUGGGGAAUAUUGGACAAUGGGCGCAAGCCUGAUCCAGCCAUACCGCGUGGGUGAAGAAGGCCUUCGGGUUGUAAAGCCCUUUUGUUGGGAAAGAAAAGCAGCAGGUUAAUACCCCGCUGUUCUGACGGUACCCAAAGAAUAAGCACCGGCUAACUUCGUG